rnacentral:piRNA from 1 species
AUCAUUGAUGCCUUAACCCUAGAA